rnacentral:rRNA from 1 species
GAUGAACGCUGGCGGCGUGCUUAACACAUGCAAGUCGAACGAUGAAGCCCAGCUUGCUGGGUGGAUUAGUGGCGAACGGGUGAGUAACACGUGAGUAACCUGCCCUUAACUCUGGGAUAAGCCUGGGAAACUGGGUCUAAUACCGGAUAGGAGCGUCCACCGCAUGGUGGGUGUUGGAAAGAUUUAUCGGUUUUGGAUGGACUCGCGGCCUAUCAGCUUGUUGGUGAGGUAAUGGCUCACCAAGGCGACGACGGGUAGCCGGCCUGAGAGGGUGACCGGCCACACUGGGCCUGAGACACGGCCCAGACUCCUACGGGAGGCAGCAGUGGGGAAUAUUGCACUAUGGGCGGAAGCCUGAUGCAGCGACGCCGCGUGAGGGAUGACGGCCUUCGGGUUGUAAACCUCUUUCAGUAGGGAAGAAGCGAAAGUGACGGUACCUGCAGAAGAAGCACCGGCUAACUACGUG